AAAGUACUUUCUUCGUCCGAAAAUAUUUGUCAUUAAAAUGGAUAAAAAGCAAUGUAUCUAGAAUUAAAAUACAUCUAGAUACAUUUCCUUUUAUCUAGUUUGAUGACAAGUAUUUCCGGACGAAAGGAGUACAAA
rfam:Triticum urartu cultivar G1812 contig768008, whole genome shotgun sequence.